rnacentral:rRNA from 1 species
UAAGUUAUUAAGGGCGCACGGUGGAUGCCUUGGCACUAGAAGCCGAUGAAGGACGUUACUAACGACGAUAUGCUUUGGGGAGCUGUAAGUAAGCUUUGAUCCAGAGAUUUCCGAAUGGGGAAACCCAGCAUGAGUUAUGUCAUGUUAUCGAUAUGUGAAUACAUAGCAUAUCAGAAGGCACACCCGGAGAACUGAAACAUCUUAGUACCCGGAGGAAGAGAAAGAAAAUUCGAUUCCCUUAGUAGCGGCGAGCGAAACGGGAAGAGCCCAAACCAACAAGCUUGCUUGUUGGGGUUGUAGGACACUCUAUACGGAGUUACAAAGGACGACAUUAGACGAAUCAUCUGGAAAGAUGAAUCAAAGAAGGUAAUAAUCCUGUAGUCGAAAAUGUUGUCUCUCUUGAGUGGAUCCUGAGUACGACGGAGCACGUGAAAUUCCGUCGGAAUCUGGGAGGACCAUCUCCUAAGGCUAAAUACUCUCUAGUGACCGAUAGUGAACCAGUACCGUGAGGGAAAGGUGAAAAGCACCCCGGAAGGGGAGUGAAAUAGAACCUGAAACCGUGUGCUUACAAGUAGUCAGAGCCCGUUAAUGGGUGAUGGCGUGCCUUUUGUAGAAUGAACCGGCGAGUUACGAUUUGAUGCAAGGUUAAGCAGUAAAUGUGGAGCCGUAGCGAAAGCGAGUCUGAAUAGGGCGUUUAGUAUUUGGUCGUAGACCCGAAACCAGGUGAUCUACCCUUGGUCAGGUUGAAGUUCAGGUAACACUGAAUGGAGGACCGAACCGACUUACGUUGAAAAGUGAGCGGAUGAACUGAGGGUAGCGGAGAAAUUCCAAUCGAACCUGGAGAUAGCUGGUUCUCUCCGAAAUAGCUUUAGGGCUAGCCUCAAGUGAUGAUUAUUGGAGGUAGAGCACUGUUUGGACGAGGGGCCCCUCUCGGGUUACCGAAUUCAGACAAACUCCGAAUGCCAAUUAAUUUAACUUGGGAGUCAGAACAUGGGUGAUAAGGUCCGUGUUCGAAAGGGAAACAGCCCAGACCACCAGCUAAGGUCCCAAAAUAUAUGUUAAGUGGAAAAGGAUGUGGCGUUGCCCAGACAACUAGGAUGUUGGCUUAGAAGCAGCCAUCAUUUAAAGAGUGCGUAAUAGCUCACUAGUCGAGUGACACUGCGCCGAAAAUGUACCGGGGCUAAACAUAUUACCGAAGCUGUGGAUUGUCCUUUGGACAAUGGUAGGAGAGCGUUCUAAGGGCGUUGAAGCAUGAUCGUAAGGACAUGUGGAGCGCUUAGAAGUGAGAAUGCCGGUGUGAGUAGCGAAAGACGGGUGAGAAUCCCGUCCACCGAUUGACUAAGGUUUCCAGAGGAAGGCUCGUCCGCUCUGGGUUAGUCGGGUCCUAAGCUGAGGCCGACAGGCGUAGGCGAUGGAUAACAGGUUGAUAUUCCUGUACCACCUAUAAUCGUUUUAAUCGAUGGGGGGACGCAGUAGGAUAGGCGAAGCGUGCGAUUGGAUUGCACGUCUAAGCAGUAAGGCUGAGUAUUAGGCAAAUCCGGUACUCGUUAAGGCUGAGCUGUGAUGGGGAGAAGACAUUGUGUCUUCGAGUCGUUGAUUUCACACUGCCGAGAAAAGCCUCUAGAUAGAAAAUAGGUGCCCGUACCGCAAACCGACACAGGUAGUCAAGAUGAGAAUUCUAAGGUGAGCGAGCGAACUCUCGUUAAGGAACUCGGCAAAAUGACCCCGUAACUUCGGGAGAAGGGGUGCUCUUUAGGGUUAACGCCCAGAAGAGCCGCAGUGAAUAGGCCCAAGCGACUGUUUAUCAAAAACACAGGUCUCUGCUAAACCGUAAGGUGAUGUAUAGGGGCUGACGCCUGCCCGGUGCUGGAAGGUUAAGAGGAGUGGUUAGCUUCUGCGAAGCUACGAAUCGAAGCCCCAGUAAACGGCGGCCGUAACUAUAACGGUCCUAAGGUAGCGAAAUUCCUUGUCGGGUAAGUUCCGACCCGCACGAAAGGCGUAACGAUUUGGGCACUGUCUCAACGAGAGACUCGGUGAAAUCAUAGUACCUGUGAAGAUGCAGGUUACCCGCGACAGGACGGAAAGACCCCGUGGAGCUUUACUGUAGCCUGAUAUUGAAAUUCGGCACAGCUUGUACAGGAUAGGUAGGAGCCUUUGAAACGUGAGCGCUAGCUUACGUGGAGGCGCUGGUGGGAUACUACCCUAGCUGUGUUGGCUUUCUAACCCGCACCACUUAUCGUGGUGGGAGACAGUGUCAGGCGGGCAGUUUGACUGGGGCGGUCGCCUCCUAAAAGGUAACGGAGGCGCUCAAAGGUUCCCUCAGAAUGGUUGGAAAUCAUUCAUAGAGUGUAAAGGCAUAAGGGAGCUUGACUGCGAGACCUACAAGUCGAGCAGGGUCGAAAGACGGACUUAGUGAUCCGGUGGUUCCGCAUGGAAGGGCCAUCGCUCAACGGAUAAAAGCUACCCCGGGGAUAACAGGCUUAUCUCCCCCAAGAGUUCACAUCGACGGGGGAGGUUUGGCACCUCGAUGUCGGCUCAUCGCAUCCUGGGGCUGUAGUCGGUCCCAAGGGUUGGGCUGUUCGCCCAUUAAAGCGGUACGCGAGCUGGGUUCAGAACGUCGUGAGACAGUUCGGUCCCUAUCCGUCAUGGGCGUAGGAAAUUUGAGAGGAGCUGUCCUUAGUACGAGAGGACCGGGAUGGACAUACCUCUGGUGUACCAGUUGUCGUGCCAACGGCAUAGCUGGGUAGCUAUGUGUGGACGGGAUAAGUGCUGAAAGCAUCUAAGCAUGAAGCCCCCCUCAAGAUGAGAUUUCCCAACUUCGGUUAUAAGAUCCCUCAAAGAUGAUGAGGUUAAUAGGUUCGAGGUGGAAGCAUGGUGACAUGUGGAGCUGACGAAUACUAAUCGAUCGAAGACUUAAUCA